UUAUCAUUUCUUCAGUAGUGAAGAUUCUGGCAGUUCCCUUGGAGUUUUGCAUUUUUUCUUUUUAUUUUGGUUUCUACCUAUAUGAAAUUUGUUGUUUACUGCAGGCUGCUGAGGGUUUUUGCCGCAGAUAUGCUGUUCCACUAGAUUCUUUGUUCAGAAAGGCAGACGUCUCGUUUCGACAUCUUAAAAAUACAUUCUAGAAGAAUGAAUUUGAUGAAAGGGAUUGAUCUAAAGAAGAUUGCUGAGAAGAUGAACGGUGCUUCUGGUGCAGAGCUUAAGGCUGUGUGCACGGAAUCAGGAAUGUUUGCUUUGAAGGAAAGGAGAGUCCACGUAACACAAGAAGAUUUCGAGAUGGCGGUGGCGAAAGUAAUGAAGAAGGAGAGCGAGAAAAACAUGUCCUUACGGAAGCUAUGGAAGUGAUUAUGUUUUAUUAUUUAUUGUGCUUUCGCGGUUUUGGGGUAAAUUCAACCAUGGAAACCCGACUUAAUAUAUGAACAAUGUAUAGAAUAUUAUAUUAUUUGCCUGGCUAGUACUACACACGUCUACUUUUCUAGACAAGGUAAGAGGACAUUUUAUGAAAUCAUAUUUGCUAAGUUUUGGAUUCA